AGUGAACGCUGGCGGUAGGCCUAACACAUGCAAGUCGAACGGCAGCACAGUAAGAGCUUGCUCUUACGGUUGGCGAGUGGCGGACGGGUGAGGAAUACAUCGGAAUCUACUUUUUCGUGGGGGAUAACGGAGGGAAACUUACGCUAAUACCGCAUACGUCCUACGGGUGAAAGCAGGGGAUCAUCGGACCUUGCGCGAUUGAAUGAGCCGAUGUCGGAUUAGCUAGUUGGCGGGGUAAAGGCCCACCAAGGCGACGAUCCGUAGCUGGUCUGAGAGGAUGAUCAGCCACACUGGAACUGAGACACGGUCCAGACUCCUACGGGAGGCAGCAGUGGGGAAUCUUGGGCAAUGGGCGAAAGCCUGAUCCAGCCAUACCGCGUGGGUGAAGAAGGCCUUCGGGUUGUAAAGCCCUUUUGUUGGGAAAGAAAAGAAGCAGGUUAAUACCCCGCUGUUCUGACGGUACCCAAAGAAAAAGCACCGGCUAACUUCGUG
rnacentral:rRNA from 1 species